UAGGGAAUUUUGGGCAAUGGGCGAAAGCCUGACCCAGCAACGCCGCGUGUGGGAUGAAGGCCCUCGGGUCGUAAACCACUGUCAGGAGGAAAGAAAAGUCGGCCGGAUAAUACUCGGUCGACCUGACGGUACCUCCAAAGGAAGCACCGGCUAACUCCGUGCCAGCAGCCGCGGUAAUACGGAGGGUGCAAGCGUUGUUCGGAAUUACUGGGCGUAAAGCGCGUGUAGGUGGUCGAGUAAGUCGAAUGUGAAAGCCCCGGGCUCAACCCGGGAAGUGCAUCCGAAACUGCUCGACUAGAGUCCCGGAGAGGAAGGCAGAAUUCCCAAUGUAGGGGUGAAAUCCGUAGAUAUUGGGAGGAAUACCGGUGGCGAAGGCGGCCUUCUGGACGGUGACUGACACUCAGACGCGAAAGCGUGGGGAGCAAACAGGAUUAGAUACCCAGGUAGUCCCUGAGCGGGCUGGCAAGGCGCAU
rnacentral:rRNA from 1 species